AGACGUCUACAUUAGAUACCCCGGUAGUCCCAGCCGUAAACUAUGCGCGUUAGGUGUAUCGGUGACCACGAGUCACCGAGGUGCCGAAGGGAAACCGUGAAACGUGCCGCCUGGGAAGUACGGUCGCAAGGCUGAAACUUAAAGGAAUUGGCGGGGAGCACCACGAACGGGUGGAGCCUGCGGUUUAAUUGGACUCAACGCCGGGAAGCUCACCGGAUAAGACAGCGGAAUGAUUGCCGGGCUGAAGACUCUGCAUGACUAGCUG
rnacentral:rRNA from 1 species